UUAGUUCAACAUAUAUCCUACGAUUAAUCAAACAAACAAACAGAGAAGAUGACAAACAAAACUACAGAAAGAAAUUUUGAAAACAUACAUGUUGGACCCGUAGGAUAGAAGCCAGCACUACUCAGUUGCAAGUUGGGGUGUUGGAGGAGGUCCAGGAGGAACAGCUGCAUCGGAAGCGUCAGCAUCAGAUGAAACGACAGUCCACUCGGGCGGCAGAGGAGGUAGCGGAGCAUACACUGUGGGGCGACGCUUAAUAUCCCAUGGCUGGGUUUUACGCGGCCGAGUUUUCAUGUGGUGAGACGUUCCCUUUUUCUGUGGACGCGACGAACACUCUAUCACCGCCGCACCGCCACCCAAUCUCGGGGCUGCC
rnacentral:lncRNA from 1 species